rnacentral:RNase_P_RNA from 1 species
CAAGGAUGCUGAUUGGUCGCCCGCAGCGUGCGGGAGGAAAGUCCGAGCGCCAUAGAGCAGAGCGCAGGAUAACGUCCUGUGGAGGCGACUCCAAGGAGAGUGCAACAGAGAUAUACCGCCGAGGUUAAAUGAAAAAUUAAUAAUGAAAAAUGAAUAAUUGUUUGUUGAGGAUUGGUGUAAUGAGUAUCCGUUCAGAACCAUCAAUUUUUCAUUGUUAAUUUUUCAUUGUUCAUUUAGCCUUGGUAAGGGUGGAAAGGCGAGGUAAGAGCUCACCCGGGGGCAGGCGACCGUCCCCCGAUGUAAACCCCGCUUGGCGCAAGACUGAAUGGGACAGUGCGCGUGCGUUACGCGCGCGCGAAAGGCUGCUCGCCGCGUCCCGAAAGUCGCUUGAGCGUUUCGGUAACGAUUCGCCCAGAUAGAUGACCGUUCAAUAAUUCUUAAAUGAAUUACGGACAGAACUCGGCUUACAGGCAUCGCUUGACGA